UACGUAGGGGGCAAGCGUUGUCCGGAUUUAUUGGGCGUAAAGAGCGUGUAGGCGGCUUGGUAGGUCCGCUGUGAAAACUCGAGGCUCAACCUCGAGAUGUCGGCGGAAACCACUUGGCUAGAGUCCGGAAGAGGAGAGUGGAAUUCCUGGUGUAGCAGUGAAAUGCGUAGAGAUCAUGAGGAAGACCAGUGGCGAAGGCGGGUCUCUGGACAGUUCCUGACACUGAGGCACGAAGGCCAGGGGAGCAAACGGG
rnacentral:rRNA from 1 species